AUUGAACGCUGGCGGCAGGCCUAACACAUGCAAGUCGAGCGGAUGAAGGGAGCUUGCUCCUGGAUUCAGCGGCGGACGGGUGAGUAAUGCCUAGGAAUCUGCCUGUUAGUGUUUUAUAACGUCCGGAAACGGGCGCUAAUACCGCAUACGUCCUGAGGGAGAAAGUGGGGGAUCUUCGGACCUCACGCUAUCAGAUGAUCCUAGGUCGGAUUAUCUAGUUGGUGGGGUAAAGGCCUACCAAGGCGACGAUCCGUCACUGGUCUGAGAGGAUGAUCAGUCAAAAUGGAACUGAGAAAAGGUCCAGACUCCUACGGGAAGGAACAGGGGGGAAUAUUGGACAAUGGGCGGAAGCCUGAUCCAGGCAUGCCGCGGGUGUGAAGAAGGUCUUCGGAUUGUAAAGCACUUUUAGUUGGGAGGAAGGGCAGUAAGGUAAUACCUUGCUGUUUUGACGUGACCAACAGAAUAAGCACCGGCUAACUUCGUG
rnacentral:rRNA from 1 species